rnacentral:rRNA from 1 species
AUGCACGCUGGCGGCGUGCCUAAUACAUGCAAGUCGAGCGAACAGACGAGGAGCUUGCUCCUCUGACGUUAGCGGCGGACGGGUGAGUAACACGUGGAUAACCUACCUAUAAGACUGGGAUAACUUCGGGAAACCGGAGCUAAUACCGGAUAAUAUAUUGAACCGCAUGGUUCAAUAGUGAAAGACGGUUUUGCUGUCACUUAUAGAUGGAUCCGCGCCGCAUUAGCUAGUUGGUAAGGUAACGGCUUACCAAGGCGACGAUGCGUAGCCGACCUGAGAGGGUGAUCGGCCACACUGGAACUGAGACACGGUCCAGACUCCUACGGGAGGCAGCAGUAGGGAAUCUUCUGCAAUGGGCGAAAGCCUGACGGAGCAACGCCGCGUGAGUGAUGAAGGUCUUCGGAUCGUAAAACUCUGUUAUUAGGGAAGAACAAAUGUGUAAGCAACUAUGCACGUCUUGACGGUACCUAAUCAGAAAGCCACGGCUAACUACGUG